rnacentral:tRNA from 1 species
GCCCGGGUGGCUCAGUUGGUUGAGCUCCUGGCUUCGGCUCAGGUCAUGAUCUCACGUUUCAUGGGUUCGAGCCCCACGUCGGACU